GGGUUGUGAGGUUAAGCGACUAAGCGUACACGGUGGAUGCCCUGGCAGUCAGAGGCGAUGAAGGACGUGCUAAUCUGCGAUAAGCGUCGGUAAGGUGAUAUGAACCGUUAUAACCGGCGAUUUCCGAAUGGGGAAACCCAGUGUGUUUCGACACACUAUCAUUACGUGAAUACAUAGCGUAAUGAAGCGAACCGGGGGAACUGAAACAUCUAAGUACCCCGAGGAAAAGAAAUCAACCGAGAUUCCCCCAGUAGCGGCGAGCGAACGGGGAGCAGCCCAGAGUCUGAAUCAGCUUGUGUGUUAGUGGAACGGUCUGGAAAGUCCGACGGUACAGGGUGAUAGUCCCGUACACCAAAAUGCACAGGUUGUGAACUCGAAGAGUAGGGCGGGACACGUGGUAUCCUGUCUGAAUAUGGGGGGACCAUCCUCCAAGGCUAAAUACUCCUGACUGACCGAUAGUGAACCAGUACCGUGAGGGAAAGGCGAAAAGAACCCCGGCGAGGGGAGUGAAAAAGAACCUGAAACCGUGUACGUACAAGCAGUGGGAGCCUCUUUAUGGGGUGACUGCGUACCUUUUGUAUAAUGGGUCAGCGACUUAUAUUCUGUAGCAAGGUUAACCGUAUAGGGGAGCCGAAGGGAAACCGAGUCUUAACUGGGCGUUAAGUUGCAGGGUAUAGACCCGAAACCCGGUGAUCUAGCCAUGGGCAGGUUGAAGGUUGGGUAACACUAACUGGAGGACCGAACCGACUAAUGUUGAAAAAUUAGCGGAUGACUUGUGGCUGGGGGUGAAAGGCCAAUCAAACCGGGAGAUAGCUGGUUCUCCCCGAAAGCUAUUUAGGUAGCGCCUCGUGAAUUCAUCUUCGGGGGUAGAGCACUGUUUCGGCUAGGGGGUCAUCCCGACUUACCAACCCGAUGCAAACUGCGAAUACCGAAGAAUGUUAUCACGGGAGACACACGGCGGGUGCUAACGUCCGUCGUGAAGAGGGAAACAACCCAGACCGCCAGCUAAGGUCCCAAAGUCAUGGUUAAGUGGGAAACGAUGUGGGAAGGCACAGACAGCCAGGAUGUUGGCUUAGAAGCAGCCAUCAUUUAAAGAAAGCGUAAUAGCUCACUGGUCGAGUCGGCCUGCGCGGAAGAUGUAACGGGGCUAAACCAUGCACCGAAGCUGCGGCAGCGACACUAUGUGUUGUUGGGUAGGGGAGCGUUCUGUAAGCCGUUGAAGGUGUGCUGUGAGGCAUGCUGGAGGUAUCAGAAGUGCGAAUGCUGACAUAAGUAACGAUAAUGCGGGUGAAAAACCCGCACGCCGGAAGACCAAGGGUUCCUGUCCAACGUUAAUCGGGGCAGGGUGAGUCGACCCCUAAGGCGAGGCCGAAAGGCGUAGUCGAUGGGAAACAGGUUAAUAUUCCUGUACUUGGUGUUACUGCGAAGGGGGGACGG
rnacentral:rRNA from 1 species